rnacentral:rRNA from 1 species
UGAGUAACACGUGAGUGACCUGCCUUUUAGACUGGAACAACUUACCGAAAGGUGAGCUAAUGCCGGAUGAGUUAUAUAAGUGCAUGUUUAUAUAGGAAAAGUUGGGAGACCUGACGCUGAAAGAUGGACUCGCGUCCCAUUAGCUAGUUGGUAGGGUAAUGGCCUACCAAGGCGACGAUGGGUAGCCGGCCUGAGAGGGUGGCCGGCCACACUGGGACUGAGACACGGCCCAGACUCCUACGGGAGGCAGCAG